rnacentral:rRNA from 1 species
UACGUAGGGUGCAAGCGUUUAAUCGGAAUUACUGGGCGUAAAGUGUGCGCAGGCGGUUUUGUAAGUCUGACGUGAAAUCCCCGGGCUUAACCUGGGAAUUGCGUUGGAGACUGCAAGGCUAGAAUCUGGCAGAGGGGGGGUAGAAUUCCACGUGUAGCAGUGAAAUGCGUAGAGAUGUGGAGGAACACCGAUGGCGAAGGCAGCCCCCCUGGGGACGGUACUGACGCUGAGACGCGAAAGCGUGGGGAGCGAACAGG